UCCUUUGCGUGAACUCUGCGCUGCGUGUUUUAGAAUUGACGUUUCGUUCUGGUCGCAGUAGCGUUUUGUACCUAUUCCAGCACUCUGAAGUGUGCACAGCCUUUGAAGCGGGCCCCAAAAGCCGCCAUGCCUUGGCUAAGGCAGCCCUGUGUUAUGGGGGGGUCGGUCUCUCUGAGUCUGGGUUCCUCCUCAGGCUUGGAAACACGCGUUUCCAAAUCAGGCUUCUCGUGAGUCACUUGGGCAACCUAACCCUUCCCUUCGGUCCCUCUGCGCAUUCCGCUGCGGGAAUCCCGAGGCCUUCCUGAUUACAGAAGAGGGUAGUGAGGGUUUUGGUAUUGGUUUUUUUUUUUUUUUUCCUUGAGGGAAAUUGCAAGCUACUUUGAUGCCCUCGACUUCCUCAUAAAGUUCAAAGGCGGUGACCCGGCGUUCCUCAAGUCCCUGCUCCCUGAACAAGUCAGCAACCAGUUCUGAAACUGCAAAUUCCAUCUUAACUGGUUAGUGGUGGGCAGUUGGCGCUGCACCUGGAGGGAACUGAGAAUGAGACGUGCCCUCCAAAAUAGAUCCACUGUUUUGCUGGAAUGCAGGCUUUCUAAGGUUACUGCCACAGACAAAUGCCGAUGAAUGUUCUUCACUGGAAGAUUUUUGAAGCUUAUGGGCAAGACCGAUGAAACACAAGAGUUGUUCUUGAGUGUUGAGAACCUGUUAGGGCAGGUAACGUGGGUGAUAAUUGUAAAUCCUUCAAACGUUAUUCCUUUUGUGUUGGGUAGUUUCAAAUAUCCUUUACCUUUGUUCCUUUACAAUUUAGUUCACAAGUCGAGAAAUCAAUUAGUUAUGUUCAUCAGUGAGGAAGUGACAAUUUUAAUUCAUACUCCAAACUGGAUAUUAAUGACAAGAAGCAGUAAGUAGAUGGGAAUCAUUACAGAAUAAAUGAAUACUAAUUGGUAUCAUUUGGGGAGAAAAAGGAAUGUUCAUAAAGCGAAAAGGGAACUUGAGUAGUGAAUUGGAGUGAAUUAAUAAAAGACUGGUUAAAAACUUGGCUAUAAUUUUUAUAAAGAUGUUAGGGAAGGUUGAUUAUCUUGUCUCUAUAUUAAUUUACUUUUCCUGAACUAUGAAUGUUUCGCUUUGUUGAAUGUGAUGUAACUUUUACUCAGAACUCCUAACUAUGCUUAUGAUGACAUUUAACUGCCCAUCAAGAAAAUUAUAAAUUUUCACUGAUUUCAGUAUAAUAUGUGGACCCAGGAUAGCAUAACCUAAGACAAAUCUGUCUUUAUUUUUAAGCAAAGUCUUACAGAUUUUCAUAAAACCGUGCCUCCAACCCACUGACACACAUCUCUCUAUAUAAGGAAUUCUAUUUAAAGAGAUUUGUAAGAUAAACAUUGCAAAUCUCUUUAUGGCAGAGACUAUGCUUAUCUAUUAAUACCAAUUUUUGUAUCCUCCAUGGUAUAUUACAACCCACAGGUGCAUAAUAAAUGUGACAAAUGCAUGAAUUUGAACUUGCAGGUAUUUCAUGUCCUCAGAAGAACUGAGCAUGGGCUGUUUUCAGGCUGACCCAAAUUUAAAGUUCUUUGGCACUGACCGCUGUGUGACCUUGGCAAGAACCUUAACCUCUGACCCAGUGAGUUCUCCUUGCUGAGGAUUCUCAUAUGUGUCUCCUGGGGCUGUUAGCAGGUUAAGUGUGAAGGUACACAAAGCAUUUCACACACAGUGUGGCAUAUUGUGAGACCUUAAGAACUGGUAGCUAUUUCGUUAUUAACACCUGUGGGUUGUAAAAUAACUGAGGCCUAAGUUAGAAAUCAUAUGAAAGUUUGAUUUAAGCCGUUUUGAGCACUCUUUCAUCUUCUGGAGAGGAGAGUCUGGUGAUUCCCUGCUGUUUUAUUAUGACUGAAAUUUCGCCCUGCACCAGAUGAUGUUUUUCCCACGAGGUCUGGAUUUCCAUAACUGACGCGUCUGUCUAGUUGACACAGACGUGUCUGUCUGGAAGCACCAAUUAUUUUAUUAGUGCUGAGUGCCUGAUAACCAUCGUUCACUCAUUCAUUCCCUGAGGGCCCUGCCGAGCCCGAGCACGGUGCCAGGGGCUGGGGUGGUAGUGGCGAACGAGGCAGGCAUCGUUUCUGGCCCCAUGUAGCUCCCAGUCUAGCUGGAAGUCCCUGCCAACAGCCACAUCCGUGAGGAAGCGUGACUUGUGAAAUACGCUGGCCGUGAAGGGAGGAGGCUGGCUUCAUAGGAGGUGUGCCAAAACUUAAGACAUUUCAAGGGAAUGUCCCACUUCGGAGCACUCCUUUAGGAGGCAUCAAUCUUAUGAUUCUAUUCUCAAAGUAUUUUUGCAACAGCUCUUUGAGACUGGCCGCCAUGGAGACUGCUGAAAGAAUUUUCUUUGGUCUCUGAGGGCACUUCCAAACGAGAGGUUCUCAAAUGAUUUCGUAGGGCAUUCACGACUUCUUUGAAAUAUGUGCCUCGCAUUCUUGAGGGGAAAGAUCUUGGUGGUGGUGAUGUAUACAGUCUGGACUCUACCACAUUUAUCAUUUCUUCAACUUAGGUCGUUUUAAAAUUUUAAUGUAGUGCUUUUCAACUAUGAGGCAAUUUUGUCCCCCAGGGACUAUUUGACAAAGCUGGAGGCCUUUUUGGUUGUCACAGCUGGAUGGGGGUUGCUACUGACGAGCCCCCCUCCACCUCCCUCACACACACAUACACACCCACGUAGCGCAGAGUUAUUCUGCCCCAAAUGUCAAUGGUUGAGAAACCCUGAUUUAAAUGGCAUGUUGGUUUAAAAAGUAGGUCUCGCGCCAGAGAAGAGCGCGAUGAUGGUGCCAACUUGGGCCAGUGAAGCGACAUCCUCCACAACUAGA